UACAGAGGUCCCAAGCGUUACUGAGAAUCACUGGGUUUAAAGGGUGCGUAGGUGGUCCGCUAAGUCAGUUGUGAAAUCCCCGGGCUCAACCCGGGAACUGCUUCUGAUACUGGCGGACUUGAGGCCAGUAGGGGUCACUAGAACUGACGGUGGAGCGGUGAAAUGCGUAGAUAUCGUCAGGAAUGCCGGUGGUGAAGACGGGUGACUGGGCUGGUUCUGACACUGAGGCACGAAAGCGUGGGGAGCGAACGGG
rnacentral:rRNA from 1 species